rnacentral:rRNA from 1 species
UGGGGAAUCUUCCGCAAUGGACGAAAGUCUGACGGAGCAACGCCGCGUGUAUGAUGAAGGUCUUCGGAUUGUAAAGUACUGUCAUUGGGGAAGAACGGUUUUCUUGAAAAGAUUGAGAAGACAUGACGGUACCCAAGGAGGAAGCCCCGGCUAACUACGUGCCAGCAGCCGCGGUAAUACGUAGGGGGCAAGCGUUGUCCGGAAUUAUUGGGCGUAAAGGGCGCGUAGGCGGGCUUUUAAGUCCGGUGUGAAAGAUCAGGGCUCAACCCUGAGAGUGCAUCGGAAACUGGAGGCCUUGAGGACAGGAGAGGAAAGUGGAAUUCCACGUGUAGCGGUGAAAUGCGUAGAUAUGUGGAGGAACACCAGUGGCGAAGGCGACUUUCUGGACUGUAACUGACGCUGAGGCGCGAAAGCGUGGGGAGCAAACAGGAUUAGAUACCCUGGUAGUCCACGCCGUAAACGAUGAGUGCUAGGUGUAGAGGGUAUCGACCCCUUCUGUGCCGCAGUUAACACAAUAAGCACUCCGCCUGGGGAGUACGGCCGCAAGGCUGAAACUCAAAUGAAUUGACGGGGUCAUAGCUGUUUUCCU